CUUGACUGUGAACUGAUCAAGUUGUAUCAAUAGUGUGUGUGUGUGUGUGUAUAUAUAUACACACACACACACACACACACACUAUUGAUACAACUUGAUCAGUAUAAA
rnacentral:miRNA from 1 species